rnacentral:lncRNA from 1 species
CGUGGGCUCCCGUGGCCCGCCGAGCUUUCCGCCGCGCAGGGCGCCGGGGGAUGCGCGCGCGGCUGGCCCGAGCCUGUGCCGCCGCCGCCUCCGCGACCGCUGCUCUCGAAGGCUCGCGGCGAGCCCCGGUUCUCUCCUCCCUCUGGCCGCGCUGGGGAAAGGAGCCGCCUAGCCCGUCACAUGGCAGCCUGGGCCGCUCGUCCUGAUUGGCUCGCCCACGCGUCAAGCAGGGAGGCACACGCGGCCAGCUCGCCCACGCCCGGAGGGUAGGGCGCAGCCGCUGCGCCCCAGGCGCAGGAGCUCGGCUCCCGGGAGUGCCGGCCGGUCCUGCGCUCCCCGCGCUCUAGCUCCGCGCGUAGGACAGCGACCUGGGGCAGGCACCCCAAAUCCGCCCUAGCCUGCCGGCUUCCUCGCACAUGCUCAGAACGCCGGUUCCUGCCCCCAUUGGAGUUUCAGGGGUCUCAGUCCACUUCCUGGGCGCCUACAUGUGUUGGGAAGGCAGGACUUCUCUGCUGUCCAGCGGGUUCUGCUGUGUCCCCAAGCAUAUACAACAGGAACUGUUGGCAGUCGCGCAGGAAUGUCACUUACAUGCCAGGUGCAGGUUGUGCUUCUCCAAGACUUGUGGCUACUUGUUUCCUUCAUGAUGCCUAAAAAGCCAG